rnacentral:piRNA from 1 species
ACCACAGUUUUUGUGAUGUGAAAAGUGCCC